GAUGAACGCUAGCGGCAGGCUUAACACAUGCAAGUCGAGGGGCAACACGGGUAGCAAUACCUGGUGGCGACCGGCGCAAGGGUGCGUAACGCGUGAGCAACAUGCCCUAUACAGGGGGAUAAUCCAGGGAAACUUGGUCUAAUAUCCCAUAGUAUUUAGAGGUGGCAUCACCACUAAAUUAAAGCUUCGGUGGUAUAGGAUUGGCUCGCGUGACAUUAGCUUGAUGGUGGGGUAACGGCUCACCAUGGCGAUGAUGUCUAGGGGUUCUGAGAGGAAGACCCCCCAACUGGGACUGAGACACGGCCCAGACUCCUACGGGAGCAGCAGUGAGGAAUAUUGGACAAUGGAUGGAAAUCUGAUCCAGCCAUGCCGCGUGCAGGAAGACGGCCCUAAUGGGUUUAAACUGCUUUUAAUGGGACAAUAAGGUUUACCGUAGACCGAUGAGAGUACCAUAUGAAUAAGCAUCGGCUAACUCCGU
rnacentral:rRNA from 1 species